CCUCACCCCACCUCACGGAUGCAGAAAACCUCAAUCUCCUGUUGAAUUACCUGGGACCUCUUCUGGAAAGGGAACGGAGAUUAUUGCACCACCAACUGAAAAACCCCCAGAACCACAAGAUGAUUAUCCUGAAAAGGACCAUCCUCAGAGAAAUCAAAAACGGCCCUGGUCUCCUACAGAAAUUGCAGCGGUGUUGAAACAUUUUCAGAAACACAUUGACACUGGGAAGCUGGCAAGUUUUGUUGAAAUUCAACAGUGUCAACAGGCAGAACAUCCUGCUUUAAUAAAUCGC